UCAUAAUGGGAUAUACAUUAGUGUUCAUGGGGGGAUUGGUGUGACUUGAAAGAGGCUGGAGGCAUGGGCUUCCAUAAUUUGUCUAAAUUUAAUAUCAAACUAUUAGCUAAACAAGGGUGGUGUUUACUUUGUAACCCCACUUUGCUAGUGGUUCGAGUGCUAAAAGCUAAAUAUUUUGCAAACAGAGUUUUUUAAAAGUUGAGCUAGGAAGUCAAUCUUCAGUGAUUUGCCUGAGUAUAUGGGCAACAAGGAUCCUUCUUGAGAAAGGGUUCAUCUAGCAAGUUGAAAGUAGUAGACUAAUCUCCGGUUAGGAUAUGUAUGGGAUCCCAAGAGACAAACCCUGCAAAGUAUAAUUAACUCGAGUGAGUGAAAUUGAGUGGGUAGCAAAUUUGAUUGAUGAUCAAACCCAGAAAUGGAAGGAGGACCAAAUAUUGACCUCAUUUGAUAUUCAGGAGGCAAGGAAAAUUCUGAGCAUUCCAUUGGCGCCACAUUAGACAACAGAUCGACUGAGACGGUGCCUAGAAAGCUCAAGUGAGUACACGUGUAACACCCCUUACCCGAGACCGUCUCCGGAAUCGAGUACGAGAUGUCAUCCAAUUUAACUUACCGAUUCGGAGCAUAAAAAUUUGCUUUUAAAAUUAAAUUCACUGUUCAUAACAACACUGUCCACCUGCGCAACUGUCACUAAUUUAAUUAUAAAUUGAGUUACGAAACUCAAAAUUUAAAUCCGUAAAUUUUCCGUGAAACUAGACUCAUAUUCCUACUUACCAUAAAAUUUUCAGAAUUUUUUACUUAGCACAUUAGUACAGUUUAUUCAUUAAAUUAUCCCCUGUUUCACAGCUCGACAGAUCUGACCUCUUGGAGCUAAAAAUCAAAUAUCUAAUUGUACAGAAUUCAUAUAAGGUUACCAUUAAUUUAUUUUGAAAAUAGACUCACUAAGGAAUCUAAACAUAUAAAUUAUGACCUAUAAUUAUUUCUGUACAAUUUAUAAUGAUUUUCUAAAGUUAGAACAGGGGACUUCAAAAACCAUUCUGACCCUGUCUCACUAAAAUUUAAAUAUCUAAAAAUAUAAAAUUCCUUUGCCUACACCUUUUCUUUCAUGUAAAAAUAGACUUGAUAAGCUUUAAUUCUAUAUAUCAUUCACCCUCUAAUUCCAUUUCUACUAUUUAUGGUGAUUUUUCACAUUCACGUCACUGCUGCUGUCAAAGAAACUGCUUCUUUGAAUUAGUUACCAUUUAAACAUACAUAACUCCAAAACAUAUUCUUUAAUAACUACUUCAAUAGCUAACAUUAGCCAUAUCAUUUGGACAUGCUCAAAAUGAUUAAGACUCUAUACAUGCCAUAGUUUAAACAUUUUGAAAAGCACAUAAUACCGAGAUGGUUAUGAUAGUGUGAUACGAGCUCCGACGGUCCACUAUUCGAUCAAGUUCAAAUCA
rnacentral:lncRNA from 1 species